rnacentral:misc_RNA from 1 species
GAUGAAGAACGCAGCGAAAUGCGAUACUUGGUGUGAAUUGCAGAAUCCCGUGAACCAUCGAGUAUUUGAACGCAAGUUGCGCCUCAAGCCAUUAGGUUGAGGGCACGUCUGCCUGGGCGUCACAUAUCGUUGCCUGAUGCCAGUUUCCUCGUGAUGGGUGACUGUGCAGGGCGAAUGAUGGCUUCCCGUGAGCAUUGUUGCCUCAUGGUUGGUUGAAAAUUGAGUCCUUGGUAGGGAGCGCCGUGAUAGAUGGUGGUUGAGUGACGAACGAGACCCAAUCAUGUGAGACCCCUACCGAAUUUGGCCUUCAUGACCCACAUGCGUCUUUGGAACGCUCAUGACGAGACCUCAGGUCAGGCGGGGCUACCCGCUGAGUUUAAGCAUAUCAAUAAGCGGAGGA